AUGCUGUGCCCUGCUCAGCUCCUGGGGCUGCUUUUGCUCUGGAUCCCUGGAUGGGCCUGGGAAGUUUAUAUCUGUGAGGGUGUGAUGACACAGACUCCACUCUCCUUGUCUGUUGCCCCUGGAGAGUCGGCCUCCAUCUCCUGCAGGUCUAGCCAGAGCCUCGUAGAUAGUGAUGGAGACACCUUCUUGAAUUGGUACCAACAGAAACCAGGCCAGGCUCCACGGCUCCUGAUCUAUGAGGUUUCUAAGCGAGAAAAUGGGGUCAAACAGAGGUUCAGUGGCAGUGGGUCAGGGACAGAUUUCACACUCGAAAUCAGCAAAGUCAGGCCUGAGGACUUUGGAGUUUAUUACUGUAUGCAAUAUACACAUGAUCCUCCCACAGUGGGAAGCCAAGGGCCACAGUGGAGACAUAGCAGCUAUUGCUUUGUUAAAUACUUCCCAAUAUUUUUGUUUACAACCACAGGUUGUUAUUGCUGA